UACAGAGGGUGCGAGCGUUAAUCGGAAUUACUGGGCGUAAAGCGUGCGUAGACGGUUAUGUAAGUCAGAUGUGAAAGCCCCGGGCUCAACCUGGGAAUUGCAUUCGAGACUGAAUAGCUAGGGUACGGUAGAGGGAAGCGGAAUUUCCGGUGUAGCGGUGAAAUGCGUAGAUAUCGGAAGGAACAUCAGUGGCGAAAGCGGCUUCCUGGACCAGUACCGACGUUCAGGCACGAAAGCGUGGGGAGCAAACAGG
rnacentral:rRNA from 1 species